GACAUAGGUGGCAAACGUUUAUCCGGAAUUAUUGGGCGUAAAGGGUGCGUAGGUGGUUUAAUAAGUUAUUGGUGGGAAAACGGGGCUCAACCCCGUGGAAGCUAGUAAUACUAUUAGACUAGAGGACCGGAGAGGUUAACGGAAUGGGCUCGCGUAGGGGUAAAAUCCGUAAAUACGAGUUGGAACACCAAAAAGCGAAGGCAGUUAACUAUUCGGUUCCUGAACAUUGAGGCACGGAAAGCGUGGGGAGCAAGACGG
rnacentral:rRNA from 1 species